AGUGAACGCUGGCGGUAGGCCUAACACAUGCAAGUCGAACGGCAGCACAGUAAGAGCUUGCUCUUACGGGUGGCGAGUGGCGGACGGGUGAUGAAUACAUCGGAAUCUACUUUUUCGUGGGGGAUAACGUAGGGAAACUUACGCUAAUACCGCAUACGACCUACGGGUGAAAGCAGGGGAUCUUCGGACCUUUCGCGAUUGAAUGAGCCGAUGUCGGAUUAGCUAGUUGGCGGGGUAAAGGCCCACCAAGGCGACGAUCCGUAGCUGGUCUGAGAGGAUGAUCAGCCACACUGGAACUGAGACACGGUCCAGACUCCUACGGGAGGCAGCAGUGGGGAAUAUUGGACAAUGGGCGCAAGCCUGAUCCAGCCAUACCGCGUGGGUGAAGAAGGCCUUCGGGUUGUAAAGCCCUUUUGUUGGGAAAGAAAAGCAGCAGGUUAAUACCCCGCUGUUCUGACGGUACCCAAAGAAUAAGCACCGGCUAACUUCGUG
rnacentral:rRNA from 1 species